rnacentral:lncRNA from 1 species
GGAUGCAGCAGAUUCUACGGCUCUUCAGUCUGUGGUGCCCAUGCACGAUUUCUACCUGUUUUCAAAGGUUCUCACCUUUGUGUUGCCCUAAUGAUGUUUGCCUGUGCUUUAAUCUUAUUAAGUGCAGUUUGAGUGUGCUGAUGAGCCCAGACACUCUGCCUAAAUUGGUCACUUGAUUUUUCCCCACCUCUUACACCUGACACUCUCUCUAUCCACCACCACCUGUGAUCAAGCUUCUCUUCCCCCCUUGGGAAUGGGAGAAAUCCAAGAAUUUUAAAACACAUGAUAAAAUGAAGAAAUAAGACAAUGAAAAAAGACAUCAAUUUCUUUUUUUUCUUUCUAUUAAUUCUACAGUUUCAUGAGCCAGUUGAGGAGCUCAGGUAUGUCAUUCUUCCUGCAGAAGGACAUGGGCUGUAUUUGUAUGUGUGAAAAGACCAGCGAUGCCACCCGCCCUCUUGUUUUGGUUGCCUUAAUGAUGAUUGUGGAUUGUUAUAGAACUGAUGGGUCUGCAGACUCUGGAUCAAUAAGAGAGAUGGUCAAAAUGACCAAACUGGCCAGGUUGUCUUGCUGCUCAUUCACCCUAUUCCAAAAUGGCCAAAAACUCGAUGAUGGCUGGGGCAAAAGGACACUUUGAAGGUUGUAAACUGUAAAAAUUCCCUGCCCCAAAUCAGCAUGGGUCUUGGGCCAUUCAUUCUCACUGGAGGAUUGAAGUACUUGAGAAAAACAAUUGUGAUUUCAAAUGCUGAGGCUAGAAACCCUCCUAAAGAGGGCCUUUGUUGUUGUUGAUCACCCAAUUAGACAUGAAAAACCAGGCUGCAGGGCAGAACACUUCAAAGAAGAAAGCAGAACAAAGAAAAGGCUACAUUGCUCUGCACAGAGAAAAGAAAAAGAAGAUUCGGCCACCCAGAGGAGUCUGAGCUUCCUGGCAGGAGGCUGGAGGAAGGAGAGAAAGCAAUGGCUGGCCAGGUGUUCCUGGGGGCAGGAAUAUUUGGGAAAUAUCUAAUGUUCAAUUGUAGGUUGUUUUCUGGGCUGCAACUCUUUUCUGUUGCCCCUCGCAAAUCUUCAAUAAAAUCUGCUAUG